GACAGCCAUCUGGCAGCCAGGAAGAGGGCUCUCACCAGAACCACACCAUGCUGACAUCCUGAUUUUGGACUUCUAGCCUCCAGAACAAUGGGAAAAUACACUUCUGGUGUGUAAGCCACGAACUCUGUGAGAUUCUGUGACGGUAGCCUGAGCUAUCUAAAACAGAUUAAAUGCUAAAAUGCUCACGGCAGUCUCUUGGACAUUACUUGACCUAGAAAAAGCGGCAACUCAUCACUAAUGCAGUCAGCAAAGGUGAGCGGUUUGGUGUACCUGGCAGAGAGGAGAGACAGACUCCAUCAGCCCACAGUCCCCAAGGUCCUGCAGCUCACCACUUCUCUCAGCCUCCCUGCUCCUCUGGGCUGGCCCAACAGAGCCACAGACUCCACACUGACCCCAGCCCUGCUGUCCCCAUGGCCCCCCAUCGUCCCAGGAAGGGGGAGGAAGGACAGAGGGAGAGAGAGAAUCUCAAGCAGACUCCCUGCUGAGCACAGAGCCUGAUGCAGGGUUCGAUCUCAUGACCUGAUGCCUGAUGAUGAUGAUGCCUGAGCCAAAAUCAAGAGCUGGAUGCCUAACCUACAGAGUUAUCCAGGGAUCCCUGUUCUCUCUUUCUUACAGAGGAUGAAGAUCAGUGACCACCAAAGAGUCAAGUCUCGUCCAACAUCAUUUGAUACAGCAAAUCUCUGAAAAAGCCUCUGAAGAAAAACCACACAUAGGCAUACCCCUCUGCAGAGAGUCACUCUCUUACUGAGGACAGAAGAAUCUGUGAGGGAACGGGCAUGCUUGAAUCAAACCUUCCUUUCUGGUUAAUUCCUCUCCCCGCUUCUGCCCUGAAAGCUCUGCCUGCCAGCCUGGCUGCACAGACAGGAAUCCUAUUAUAUAUACUGUUUGCAACCCAGAAAAUCAAGAAGAUAUGUCCCUUCCUGACAGUUCCUCUGGGAUCAGUGCCUUUCAAAAGUCUUCCCUGGGAAUCAAUUAAAUGGUUUCAUCAAUGGUGCAUCUAAUAAGAGAUUCCUGUGUCCCCCACAAACAAAUAAAUAUUUAUGGAAUGGGUGACUGCAAUAAUGAAUAUGUAGGAAUGAAAAAUAAUGAUGUAUUGUCCUAUAUUUUGCUAAAAGGAAAGGAUGCUCUCAAUAGAUCAUGAGAAAAACAACACUGUUGAAAGAGAACAUCUACAGGAUACUGUUAUGGUAUAUUUUGUCUAAAAAUGUGUGUUCACACAUGCAUGUGCCUGUGUGUGCUUAUGUGUGUGUACAGAAGAGAAACUGGGUGUUCACUUCGGCAGCACAUAUAGAAGGGAAACUGGAAAGAUGUACAUAAAAAUGUCAUCUUGGUCCAGGGGUUGUAAUGUAAUUUUUUUUUUUUUACUAAUUUCUCUGUAAU